rnacentral:rRNA from 1 species
UACAGAGGUCUCAAGCGUUGUUCGGAUUCAUUGGGCGUAAAGGGUGCGUAGGUGGCGCGCUAAGUCAGGUGUGAAAUUUCGGAGCUUAACUCCGAAACUGCAUUUGAUACUGGCGUGCUUGAGGACUGGAGAGGAGACUGGAAUUCAUGGUGUAGCAGUGAAAUGCGUAGAGAUCAUGAGGAAGACCAGUGGCGAAGGCGGGUCUCUGGACAGUUUCCUGACACUGAGGCACGAAGGCCAGGGGAGCAAAACGGGG